rnacentral:rRNA from 1 species
GAUGAACGCUGGCGGCGUGCCUAAUACAUGCAAGUCGAGCGAACAGACGAGGAGCUUGCUCCUCUGACGUUAGCGGCGGACGGGUGAGUAACACGUGGAUAACCUACCUAUAAGACUGGGAUAACUUCGGGAAACCGGAGCUAAUACCGGAUAAUAUAUUGAACCGCAUGGUUCAAUAGUGAAAGACGGUUUUGCUGUCACUUAUAGAUGGAUCCGCGCCGCAUUAGCUAGUUGGUAAGGUAACGGCUUACCAAGGCAACGAUGCGUAGCCGACCUGAGAGGGGGAUCGGCCACACUGGAACUGAGACACGGUCCAGACUCCUAUGGGAGGCAGCAGUAGGGAAUCUUCCGCAAUGGGCGAAAGCCUGACGGAGCAACGCCGCGUGAGUGAUGAAGGUCUUCGGAUCGUAAAACUCUGUUAUUAGGGAAGAACAAAUGUGUAAGUAACUAUGCACGUCUUGACGGUACCUAAUCAGAAAGCCACGGCUAACUACGUG